rnacentral:tRNA from 2 species
UCCGGCAUAGCUCAGUUGGUAGUAGCGCAUGACUGUUAAUCAUGAUGUCGUAGGUUCGAGUCCUACUGGCGGAG